AGGACGAACGCUGGCGGCGUGCUUAACACAUGCAAGUCGAGCGAGGCCCUUCCUUCGGGGAGGUGCCCUAGCGGCGAACGGGUGAGUAACACGUGGGCAACCUGCCCCUAGCACUGGGAUAACUCCGGGAAACCGGGGCUAAUACCGGAUAUGACCUUCUUGGGCAUCCUCGAAGGUGUAAAGGAUUCUGGCUAGGGAUGGGCCCGCGGCCUAUCAGCUUGUUGGUGGGGUAAUGGCCUACCAAGGCGACGACGGGUAGCCGGCCUGAGAGGGUGACCGGCCACACUGGGACUGAGACACGGCCCAGACUCCUACGGGAGGCAGCAGUGGGGAAUCUUGCACAAUGGGCGAAAGCCUGAUGCAGCGACGCCGCGUGGAGGACGAAUGCUUUCUGAGUUGUAAACUCCUUUCAGCAGGGACGAUUGUGACGGUACCUGCAGAAGAAGCACCGGCCAACUACGCGCCAGCAGCCGCGGUAA
rnacentral:rRNA from 1 species